UCCGAUCCCAUCUCUCUAGAGGAGUGUGGGGGUGUUGAUCUGACCAGCGUUCCAUUGUCGCUGCCAGUUUUCUGUGCAGUGUAUCCAGAUUCAAUCAGUAACGAUUGAAAUAUAUUAAAUGGGACCAUGUUGCCUUGGCUUCUUCUGCAAUCCAGAAUCUGUACUCGCACAUGGUUAAUUGCACUGGCUGUGUGCAAUCGCGCCUCUUCUUCCUCUGUCUUUCCCAUCCUCGUUCAUUCUCCAUUCCAUUCCUAAUCCCAGAUGAUAAAGUCGAAAUCUCACUGUUGGUGAU
rnacentral:lncRNA from 1 species